rnacentral:rRNA from 1 species
AACCUGCGGAAGGAUCAUUACCAAAGGAGUGAGAAAUCACUCUUCUUACCUGCUCGGUGGCCCCUUCGGGUCGCUGACUGGUCAACCCUUUGUGAACCAAAAAAACCUUUUCGCUUCGGCAGCUGGGCCUGACCGCCUGUCAGCCUGCCGCUAGCACCCAACCGAAAACCUGUUGUCAAAACAUUUGUCUGAUAACCAAAAUUUUCGAAUGAAAAUCAAAACUUUCAACAACGGAUCUCUUGGUUCCCGCAUCGAUGAAGAACGCAGCGAAACGCGAUAGUUAAUGUGAAUUGCAGAAUUCAGUGAAUCAUCGAGUCUUUGAACGCACAUUGCGCCCAUUGGUAUUCCUUUGGGCAUGUCUGUUUGAGCGUCAUUACAACCCCUCAGCUAACGCUGGUUUUGAACCGGGACAGGUUGACACCUGCACCGGUUUUAAAGUUGUAAGCUCUGCUGGCUGCUCUGCCCCAACCGGAACAUAGUAAAAACUACUACUUGUUAAGGCGAGGUGAAGCGGUACGGCCUGAACAAAACCUACCCAUUUUUCUAAGGUUUGACCUCAGAUCAGACAAGGAUACCCGCUGAACUUAAGCAUAUCAAU